rnacentral:lncRNA from 1 species
CUUCUUUCUGCGCAGCAGCAGCUUCUCUCUCCUUUCUUCUUGCAGUCUAAUAAUGUAAAGAACAAAUGAGGAAAUAACAAAAUUCCUCAAAUAGUAGACAAAAUAAAUGAAUCCCAGAAAUGCUCCUCGCAUGCAAGAAAAAUAAACCACACAAUAGCAUGAGAUACAUAGUGAGAGAAAAGAGGAGCUAGAUAGGGAUACGAACAGAAGAAUUAGAUCCAAAGGAGGCAUACCUUUCCCAUAGCAAUGGUCACAUCAUUGCCGGAACCAAUAUCAGCGAUUGCUCUUCUUAUUUGCGCCACAAGAUACUGUGAAAUUAAACAAAGCAAGAAAGCAGAAGUCACAAAUGAAUAUCAAGGUAUAUGAACAAGCCAACAG